UGUACACGCUGUGACUAGCAUAUCAAUAAGCGGAGGAAAAGAAACUAACAAGGAUUCCCUCAGUAACGGCGAGUGAAGCGGGAAGAGCUCAAAUUUGAAAUCUUGAAAGGUCACCUUUCACGAAUUGUAGUUUAAAGAAGUGUUUUCUGUUACGAUCGUAAUAUAAGUUCUUUGGAAUAGGACAUCACAGAGGGUGAGAAUCCCGUCUAUGAUUGCGAUUUGUAGCUUUGUGAUACACUUUCAAAGAGUCGGGCUGUUUGGGAAUGCAGCCCAAAACGGGAGGUAAAUUUCUUCUAAGGCUAAAUAUUGGCGAGAGACCGAUAGCGAACAAGUACCGUGAGGGAAAGAUGAAAAGAACUUUGAAAAGAGAGUUAAAUAGUACGUGAAAUUGUCAAAAGGGAAGCGUUUAACACCAGUGUUGUUUUCUGAAAAUCAACCUCUGUUAGCUUUAUGCAUGUUUGUUUAGACCUAAUCAGCUAUCUUGCAUGUUCUAUUGUUUGCAGUGGUGCACUUUUCAGUUUACAGGUCAACAUCAGUUUUUUUUACCGUAAAAAAGUUAAAGAAAGGUAGCUCAUGGCUCCGGUCGUGAGUGUUAUAGUCUUUUUCCUAUGCGGUAGGAGAGACUGAGGUCUGCAGUGUAGGCUAUUUGGCUAGAUACUCAGGUGCUAUGUGAUACCAUUUCAUAAACAACUUGUUGAUUAUGUUUUGUCUAUUGCAUACUCGCUUGUACUAUCAUACCUACGCUUAGGAUGUUGAGUAGCGACAUACGCAC
rnacentral:rRNA from 1 species